CUACGGGCGGCUCCAGUGAGGAAUAUUGCACAAUGGGGGGAACCCUGAUGCAGCAACGCCGCGUGGAGGAUGACGCAUUUCGGUGUGUAAACUCCUUUUAUAUGUCAAGAAAAUGACGGUAGCAUAUGAAUAAGUACCGGCUAACUCCGUGCCAGCAGCCGCGGUAAUACGGAGGGUGCAAGCGUUACUCGGUAUCACUGGGCGUAAAGGACGCGUAGGCGGGUUGGAAAGUCAGGUGUGAAAUCCUACAGCUUAACUGUAGAACUGCACUUGAAACUUCUAAUCUAGAGUAUGGGAGGGGGAGAUGGAAUUAGUGGUGUAGGGGUAAGAUCCGUAGAUAUCACUAGGAAUACCUAAAGCGAAGGCGAUCUCCUGGAACAUUACUGACGCUAAGGCGUGAAAGCGUGGGGAGCAAACAGGAUUAGAUACCCCAGUAGUC
rnacentral:rRNA from 1 species